ensembl:lncRNA
AAGAUUUGGCAUGGGUCCCCAGAUCCUCAAAAAUGUCAACAGCUGCACCAUCGAGAGCAUCCUGACCGGUUGCAUCAGACUGUAAGACACUACAGAGGGUAGUGCGUACGUACGGCCCAGUACAUCACUGGGGCCAAGCUUCCUGACAUCCAGGACCUCUAUACUAGAGGAGAGAAGACGAGAGGAGAGAAGAGGAGGGGAGAGAAGAGGAGAGGAGAGAAGAGGAGGGGAGAGAAGAGGAGGGGGAGAAGAGGAGGGGAGAGAAGAGGAGAGGAGAGAAGAGGAGGGGAGAGAAGAGGAGAGGAGGGAAGAGGAGAGGAGAGAAGAGGAGUGGAGAGAAGAGGAGAGGAGAGGAGAGGAGAGAAGAGGAGGGGGAGAAGAGGAGGGGAGAGAAGAGGAGAUGAGAGAAGAGGGGGGGAGAAGAGGAGUGGAGAGAAGAGGAGGGGAGAGAAGAGGAGAGGAAAGAGGAGAGGAGAGAAGAGGAGGGGAGAAGAGGAGGGAGAGAAGAGGAGAUGAGAGAAGAGGAGUGGAGAGAAGAGGAGAGGAGAGAAGAGGAGGGGAGAGAAGAGGGAGAGGAGAGAAGAGGAGUGGAGAGAAGAGGAGAGGAAAGAGGAGAUGAGAAAAGAGGAGUGGAGAGAAGAGGAGAGGAGAGAGGAGGAGGGGAGAGAAGAGGAGGGGGAGAAGAGGAGGGGAGAAGAGGAGAGGAGAGAAGAGGAGGGGAGAAGGAGGGGAGAGAAGAGGAGAGAAGAGGAGAGGAGAGAAGAGGAGGGGAGAGAAGAGGAGGGGGAGAAGAGGAGGGGAGAGAAGAGGAGAGGGAGUGGAGAGAAGAGGAGAGGAGAGAAGAGGAGUGGAGAGAAGAGGAGGGGAGAGGAGGGGAGAGAAGAGGAGAGGAGAGAAGAGGAGGGGAGAGAAGAGGAGGGGGAGAAAAUGAGGGGAGAGAAGAGGAGGGGAGAGAAGAGGAGAGGAGGGAAGAGGAGAGAAGAGGAGGGGAGAGAAGAGGAGAGAAGAGGAGGGGGAGAAGAGGAGGGGGAGAAGUGGAGGGGAGAGAAGAGGAGGGGGAGAAGAGGAGUGGAGAGAAGAGGAGGGGAGAGAAGAGGAGGGGAGAGAAGAGGAGAGGAGAGAAGAGGAGAGAAGAGGAGGGGGGAGAAGAGGAGGGGAGAGAAGAGGAGGGGGAGAAGAGGAGGGGAGAGAAGAGGAGAGGAGAGAAGAGGAGGGGAGAAAAGGAGGGGAGAGAAGAGGAGAGGAGAGAAGAGGAGGGGAGAGAAGAGGAGAGGAGGGAGGGGAGAGAAGAGGAGGGGAGAGAAGAGGAGAGAAGAGGAGGGGAGAGAAGAGGAGGGGGAGAAGAGGAGGGGAGAGAAGAGGAGGGGGAGAAGAGGAGGGGAGAGAAGAGGAGGGGAGAGAAGAGGAGAGGAGGGAAGAGGAGAGAAGAGGAGGGGAGAGAAGAGGAGGGGGAGAAAAGGAGGGGAGAGAAGAGGAGAGGAGAGAAGAGGAGGGGAGAGAAGAGGAGAGGAGGGAAGGGGAGAGAAGAGGAGGGGAGAGAAGAGGAGAGAAGAGGAGGGGAGAGAAGAGGAGGGGGAGAAGAGGAGGGGGAGAAGAGGAGUGGAGAGAAGAGGGGGAGAGAAGAGGAGAGGAGGGAAGAGGAGAGGAGAGAAGAGGAGAGAGAGGAGAGGAGAGAAGAGGAGGGGGAGAAGAGGAGGGGAGAGAAGAGGAGAUGAGAGAAGAGGAGGGGGAGAAGAGGAGGGGAGAGAAGAGGAGGGGGAGAAGAGGAGUGGAGAGAAGAGGAGGGGAGAGAAGAGGAGAGGAAAGAGGAGAGGAGAGAAGAGGAGGGGGAGAAGAGGAGGGGAGAGAAGAGGAGUGGAGAGAAGAGGAGAGGAGAGAAGAGGAGGGGAGAGAAGAGGAGAGGAGAGAAGAGGAGUGGAGAGAAGAGGAGAGGAAAGAGGAGAUGAGAAAAGAGGAGUGGAGAGAAGAGGAGAGGAGAGAGGAGGAGGGGAGAGAAGAGGAGGGGGAGAAGAGGAGGGGAGAGAAGAGGAGAGGAGAGAAGAGGAGGGGGAGAAGGAGGGAGAGAAGAGGAGAGAAGAGGAGAGGAGAGAAGAGGAGGGGAGAGAAGAGGAGGGGGAGAAGAGGAGGGGAGAGAAGAGGAGAGGAGUGGAGAGAAGAGGAGAGGAGAGAAGAGGAGAGGAGAGAAGAGGAGGGGAGAGGGGGGGAGAGAAGAGGAGAGGAGAGAAGAGGAGGGGAGAGAAGAGGAGGGGGAGAAAAUGAGGGGAGAGAAGAGGAGGGGAGAGAAGAGGAGAGGAGGGAAGAGGAGAGAAGAGGAGGGGAGAGAAGAGGAGAGAAGAGGAGGGGAGAGAAGAGGAGGGGGAGAAAAGGAGGGGAGAGAAGAGGAGGGGGAGAAGAGGAGUGGAGAGAAGAGGAG